CGGACAACACUUCCUCCCCUGCGGCACACAGGAAAUGAUUCAACGGCCUGCACAUCCACUUAAUUCAGACAUUAUGGACGCUUACACAGGCUCAGCCUGGCCAUAGAGUUAAAGUAACUGGAUUUAGGCUCCCACUAGGUGGCAGGCAUGGCUAAUCAAUGUGCGUCUUGCCUUGAAGAAGCCUCAUAAAGCAUGUGCGGUUAGGAGAAUGCACAUCAGGGGCAUGUCGUCUUGGAUCAAUUGUGAAAUCAUCGUUCUGUUUCACACCAUCCCACCUGCAGCACAUGGGACAGUUCAGCAUGCGAGGAGGUUUGAUUAGCCUGCCAAACAUUAUGGGGAACUGAAUGCUGCUGGAUCCUCCUGAACAACUGUUGGCUUGUUUAUUGGAUGUUACACACUAUGAAGUCUGUUUCGCUGGUCCACUUUGACUAUGGUGCACAGGAAAUAAAGUAUAAACGCUCUUUCCUCACUGA